CAAUAGCGUAUAUUAAAGUUGUUGCAGUUAAAAAGCUCGUAGUUGAAUUUCUGGCGGGCGCGCCGGUCUUCCAAGUGUUGUACUGGGCGCAGUCCGCCAUCCUUGUGGAGAGGGCUCGCAUUGAGUUGCGUGUCGGAUCUGCAUCAUUUACUGUGAAAAAAUUAGAGUGUUUAAAGCAGGCUGUCGCUUGAAUACAUUAGCAUGGAAUAAUAAGAUAGGACUUCGGUCUAUUUUGUUGGUUGCGAACCGAGGUAAUGAUUAAUAGGGAUAGUUGGGGGUAUUCAUAUUUAAUUGUCAGAGGUGAGAUUCUUGGAUUUAUGAAAGAUGAACAACUGCGAAAGCAUUUACCAAGGAUGUUUUCAUUAA
rnacentral:rRNA from 1 species